UGGUCGAGUGAUCCUGCGCCGAAGAUUUCCGGGGCUAAAACUUACUACCGAAGCUACGGCAUCAGUAAUGAUGGGUAGGGGAGCUUCCCAUAUGGGUUGAAGCAUGACCGUAAGGACAUGUGGACAGGAUGGGAGUGAGAAUGUUGGCAUGAGUAGCGAGAUGUGGGUGAGAAUCCCACAGGCCGUAAACCCAAGGUUUCCAGGGGAAGGUUCGUCCGCC
rnacentral:rRNA from 1 species